GCAAGUCGAGGGGCAGCAUUUACUUCGGUAAAUGGCGACCGGCGCACGGGUGAGUAACGCGUAUGCAACCUACCUUUAACUGGGGCAUAGCUCGAGGAAACCCGAAUUAAUUCCCCAUAGUACAUUAUAAUAUCUCAUGAUAUAAAUGUUAAAGAUUUAUCGGUUAAAGAUGGGCAUGCGUCUGAUUAGUUUGUUGGUAAGGUAACGGCUUACCAAGACUACGAUCAGUAGGGGGUCUGAGAGGAUGAUCCCCCACACUGGUACUGAGACACGGACCAGACAUCUACGGAUGGCAGCAGUAAGGAAUAUUGGGCAAUGGGCGCAAGCCUGACCCAGCCAUGCCGCGUGCAGGAUGACGACCCUAUGGGUUGUAAACUGCUUUUAUAUAGGAAGAAAAUACUCUUGCGAGAGGCUCUGACGGUACUAUAUGAAUAAGGACCGGCUAACUCCGUGCCAGCAGCCGCGGUAAUACGGAGGGUUCAAGCGUUUUCCGGAUUUAUUGGGUUUAAAGAGUGCGUAGGUGGUUUAUUAAGUCAGUGGUGAAAUCCUGCAGCUCAACUGUAGAACUGCCAUUGAUACUGGUAAACUUGAGUUUGGUUUAGGUAAGCGGAAUUUAUGAUGUAGCGGUGAAAUGCAUAGAUAUCAUAAGGAACACCAAUAGCGAAGGCAGCUUACUGGACCACAACUGACACUGAGGCACGAAAGCGUGGGUAGCGAACAGGAUUAGAUACCCUGGUAGUCCACGCCGUAAACGAUGCUCACUCGAUGUUAGCGAUAUACUGUUAGCGUCCAAGCUAAAGCGUUAAGUGAGCCACCUGGGGAGUACGCCGGCAACGGUGAAACUCAAAGGAAUUGACGGGGGCCCGCACAAGCGGUGGAGCAUGUGGUUUAAUUCGAUAAUACGCGAGGAACCUUACCUAGGCUAGAAUGCGAGUGACAUCCA
rnacentral:rRNA from 1 species